GCGGUUUCUCUUAUAAUUUGAUUCCAUUACUAGUUGAAUGUUCAGAAUUGAUGGAAAGUUUGGAUCACGGAGACACACGCAUUUUUAAGCGACAUAUUCAUUUUAUAAUUUGUGAGUUUAUGAAAAGUAAUUGUCAGGAACUUUGGGCAUUGGGUAUGCACGUUUUGUUGUACAGGGAUGACCGAUUGUUGAUCCGGUGGACGGAAUUUGCAAUUCAUAAAAUAAAUCUGCCUCUUUGUUAUACACUAAACAAUCUGCAUAUGCGUGAUAACAAAAUUCGGUUGGAAGUUGUGAGGUCGACAACGAAACCAUAAUCCAAGUGCGUGCUGGAAUCCAAUAUCCGCAGAUAAAACACUGUGCUUUCUCGCCGCAUUCUUUCGUUGGUAAUGGCUGUAGUUCAAAACGUGCAGACCCAUUAAACAGAAGGGUGAGGUGACGCUCAGCACUUGACGUAAUCUUUUCCGUUCUACUCUGCGGCCAGUGGGAACAUUCUCGAAGAUGUUGGGAGAAGAAAAUAAUAGGUUGACGAAGGAACAUGGUGUAGAACGUUGCUACUUCAUACACUCUCAUCGGAGGGACUUCAAGAACCUCUGCAAC